CCAAUAGCGUAUAUUAAAGUUGCUGCAGUUAAAAAGCUCGUAGUUGAAUUUCGGGACCAUCAUGUCGGUCGUGCCUCGGUACGUACUGGCAUUGUUGGUUUCUCCCUUCUGACGAACCAUGAUGUCAUUUAUUUGGUGUUGUGGGAAAUCAGGACUGUUACUUUGAAAAAAUUAGAGUGUUUAAAGCAGGCUCACGCUUGAAUACAUUAGCAUGGAAUAA
rnacentral:rRNA from 1 species